AUCCUUUUCCAAUUCAUAAGUAUGAUGAUUGGGUCCUCAUCCACUUGUGUGACAUGUGCCUCCCUCAAACCUUGUUAUGACGUUGACACAUUACCCAUCUGAUG
rfam:Dipodomys ordii contig_70415, whole genome shotgun sequence.